rnacentral:rRNA from 1 species
CUACGGGUUGCUCCAGUGGGGAAUAUUGCACAAUGGGCGCAAGCCUGAUGCAGCCAUGCCGCGUGUAUGAAGAAGGCCUUCGGGUUGUAAAGUACUUUCAGCGAGGAGGAAAGGGUGCAAGUUAAUACCUUGUAUCUGUGACGUUACUCGCAGAAGAAGCACCGGCUAACUCCGUGCCAGCAGCCGCGGUAAUACGGAGGGUGCGAGCGUUAAUCGGAAUUACUGGGCGUAAAGCGCGCGUAGGCGGUUAAUUAAGUCAGAUGUGAAAGCCCAGGGCUCAACCUUGGAACUGCAUUUGAAACUGGUUAACUAGAGUUUUGUAGAGGGUGGUAGAAUUUCAGGUGUAGCGGUGAAAUGCGUAGAGAUCUGAAGGAAUACCAGUGGCGAAGGCGGCCACCUGGACAAAGACCGACGCUGAGGCGCGAAGGCGUGGGGAGCAAACGGGAUUAGAUACCCCCGUAGUC